UACGUAGGGUGCAAGCGUUGUCCGGAAUUAUUGGGCGUAAAGAGCUCGUAGGCGGUUCGUCGCGUCGGCUGUGAAAUCCCGGAGCUCAACUCCGGGUCUGCAGUCGAUACGGGCGGACUUGAGUACUGCAGGGGAGACUGGAAUUCCUGGUGUAGCGGUGAAAUGCGCAGAUAUCAGGAGGAACACCGGUGGCGAAGGCGGGUCUCUGGGCCGAAACUGACGCUGAGGAGCGAAAGCGUGGGGAGCAAACAGG
rnacentral:rRNA from 1 species